rnacentral:rRNA from 1 species
GACGAACGCUGGCGGCGUGCCUAAUACAUGCAAGUAGAACGCUGAAGCGAGGAGCUUGCUCUUCUUGGAUGAGUUGCGAACGGGUGAGUAACGCGUAGGUAACCUGCCUUGUAGCGGGGGAUAACUAUUGGAAACGAUAGCUAAUACCGCAUAACAAUGGAUGACACAUGUCAUUUAUUUGAAAGGGGCAAUUGCUCCACUACAAGAUGGACCUGCGUUGUAUUAGCUAGUAGGUGAGGUAAUGGCUCACCUAGGCGACGAUACAUAGCCGACCUGAGAGGGUGAUCGGCCACACUGGGACUGAGACACGGCCCAGACUCCUACGGGAGGCAGCAGUAGGGAAUCUUCGGCAAUAGGGGCAACCCUGACCGAGCAACGCCGCGUGAGUGAAGAAGGUUUUCGGAUCGUAAAGCUCUGUUGUAAGUCAAGAACGGGUGUGAGAGUGGAAAGUUCACACUGUGACGGUAGCUUACCAGAAAGGGACGGCUAACUACGUG